rnacentral:rRNA from 2 species
CGCGGUAAUACAUAGGUUGCAAGCGUUAUCCGGAAUUAUUGGGCGUAAAGCGUCUGUAGGUUGUUUGUUAAGUCUGGCGUUAAAUUUUGGGGCUCAACCCCAAACCGCGUUGGAUACUGGCAAACUAGAGUUAUGUAGAGGUUAGCGGAAUUCCUUGUGAAGCGGUGAAAUGCGUAGAUAUAAGGAAGAACACCAACAUGGCGAAGGCAGCUAACUGGACAUAUACUGACACUGAGAGACGAAAGCGUGGGGAGCAAACAGGAUUAGAUACCCUGGUAGUCCACGCCCUAAACGUUGAUCAUUAGCUGAUGGGGAACUCAUCGGCGCAGCUAACGCAUUAAAUGAUCCGCCUGAGUAGUGCGUUCGCAAGAAUAAAACUUAAAGGAAUUGACGGGGACCCGCACAAGCGGUGGAGCAUGUGGUUUAAUUUGAAGAUACGCGUAGAACCUUACCCACUCUUGACAUCUUCUGCAAAGCUAUAGAGAUAUAGUGGAGGUUAACAGAAUGACAGAUGGUGCAUGGUUGUCGUCAGCUCGUGUCGUGAGAUGUUCGGUUAAGUCCUGCGACGAGCGCAACCCCUGUCCUUAGUUACUAACAUUUAGUUGAGCACUCUAAGGAGACUGCCUGAGUAAUCGGGAGGAAGGUGGGGACGACGUCAAAUCAUCAUGCCUCUUACGAGUGGGGCAACACACGUGCUACAAUGGCCAGUACAAAGUGAAGCAACCUGGUGACAGUGAGCAAACCACAAAAAACUGGUCUCAGUUCGGAUUGGAGUCUGCAACUCGACUCCAUGAAGUCGGAAUCGCUAGUAAUCGUAGAUCAGCUACGCUACGGUGAAUACGUUCUCGGGUCUUGUACACACCGCCCGU